GACCCCACCCCCCAAAUCGAGCUCUCGCUUGCAAACCCUCCACGUUGCCUCCUCGCCAUUGAUAAUGACUACUUGGAAUAUGUUACAUUGUGGUACGCCAUCUGCACAGCGACUGUCCGUCGUUGCCACCCUCACGCCGCCUCCGUUUUAGGAAGCCAAGCUACACGAGCAAGUUGUGAAGAAAUGGGAUAAAAGUUGGUUUAAAAGUUCAAAUAUGAGGACUUUGGGGCAAUCAUGCAAAAAGGAGAGAAAAUAGGGCUAAGAAGCUGAAAAAAGUGGGGUUGCAGUACCUUACAUCUCGAGUGCAGCGUUACAACCUAAGGUUGGGUUCUAUGUUGACGCCAUGGUGCUGCCUUGCAACAUUUCAACGCCACGAAAAUACAAGACAGAUCACAUUCAGUGGUGCAAAAAAAGCAUUACUAAAAGCUGAAAAAGGCUGCUAAAUGUUUUAGCUACGCCUAAGCAUGCAUCGUUGUAUCCUUUGCUGUAUCUUCGUAGUCAAUACUUUUAGAACACGUUCUUUGUGCGCCAUUAAAACAUUAGUUUUACUGACACGUGUGCGUUACUAAAAUCUCACAUUUGGCAACAUUCUAGGCAUUGUUAAUGGGUAAUUUACAAUGGUGUUAAUAUUGUCGUUGAAAAAUAAGUUUUAGCAACAUGUAAGUUGUUGCUUGUUGGGCUUUUAAUCUGAUUGCAGGCCUAAAUUUGUGGAGAAGUUGAUCCAAAGCGAGAGACGUAGUUGCCAGAUGUGGCUUCUGUGAGGCCACGUUGCAGAGAUCCUUGAGCCACAUGAGGGAGAGAUUGAUUCGUUUCAGUCUAUGUAGAAAGGAAUCGAAGAACAACACACACAUGAAUGAAGAAGGAAAAGAAGAGACUAUGGGUUACGUGACUCGGUUUGAGCAACUUACAUCCACGUGAAGGGGAAGAUUGUUUUAUUAGAAGGCUUAUAAAGAUGAUAAGAACUCUCUAAUAUAGAUUUCACACUCUUACUUCUCUCUUUUACAUAGAUCUGUAUUUAUAUGGUGUAAAUCUAU